AGCAGCUACUGUUGGAGCUGGUUAAUGGGAGGAAAUUAAUAAUUUGAAUUAUAUUUUCUCCCAGAACACUGUGGUUCAAUAAAGAAAAGAAAACAACAAAAAAACCCUUUUUUUAUUAAAUUUUCUAUUGAACUGAUUGGAAAGAGGUUAGCUAAGAGGUAUAACGUAGUUCAGUUGUAACUGAUCAGGUUUCAGGUUUUGUCAGGCUAUGUUUCCUUGUGAUCUUUCACCAGUUCAGAUUAUGUUUCCUGAUAAAUAUGUUGUGCAAUUUCUUGUUUGCUGUGUUUUAGCUAUUAGCCCUCUUCUCUCUCACCUAUGGGAAGCGGCUGUGCUUUUUAGUGGGGAAUUUUUAGAUGUAGAGGCAAGCAAUUUUUUCCACUGUAGGGCUGAACUGGGACCGAUCUCACUGCCACCAACAGGGCUUACUUUUGUGCCAUGGCCUUUGCAGUCUUAUGGAUUCAUUUCACACUGUUUGCUACUCCUCAGUUGCAGCAAGGAGCCUCCUGCCACCAUCCCCACCAGCAGGUAGCACAGAAGUGCCCUGCCCUGCUUUCUCCCAGUGAGAAGGGAGAUAGGGAGAUGUGAGAAGACAACUCCCUUUCUGUUCACACAUUUAUUCACAGCUACUGUUACCACAGACAUCUUCAUUUCUCAUCUUAUGAGCACGAGGCAGGAGGCUGGCACGACUGAGCAGUGACACACUGGUGAACCUGAAGGAUAAAAAGGAAACGCAUAAGUGGUAAAAGCUGUGAUGUGUGAUCUGGAAAGAGUACAGGGCACACCGUUCGGAAGUACAGAGUUGGGAUGAGGAAAGCCAAAACACAGAUGGAAUUGAACUUAGCAAGAAUUGUGAAAAAUAACAAGGAUUCUACAGGCACAUUCGUCAGAACAGAAAGCCAAGGAGAGUCUACUUACUUUGAUAAAUGAGAAGGGAGAAAUGGCAACAAUGGACAGAGAGAAGGCUGAGGCACUGAACAAAUUUUUUGCCUUGGUCUUCACUGACUGUCAAGCUACCCACUUCUCUUACAUCCCUGAACCUCUAGGUGGGAGCUGGAGAAGUGUAAUCACUCAUACUGUAAAGGAAAAGCAAGACUGAAACCACCUGACGUGAAUGAAUAUGCACAAGUUCAUGGGGCCAGAAGACAUGCACCUCAGGAUCCUGAAUGGACUGACUGAUACGGUUGCCAAGCUGCUCUCAAUCAUCUCUGAAAAGUCAUGGCUGCUAGGUGAAGUCCCCAUUGUCAGGAAAAGAGGAAAUAUCACUCUCAUUUUUAAGGAAGAUAGAAAAGAAGACUCAAGAAACUACAGGCCAAUGAGCCCCAUGUCUGUGCCUGGAAAGAUCAUGGAGCAGAUAUUUCUGGACGAGAUGCUAAGGCGCAAGUGAGACAAAGAGGUGAACUGAGAAAGCCAGCAUGGAUUCACCAAGGGUAGAUCAUGCCUGACCAACGCAGUAGCCUUUAAGGAUGGAGUGACACCAUCAGUAGACAAAGGAAGAACAACUGGUUUCACAUACCUGGACUUCUGCAAAGCCUUUAAUAUGGUCCUGCACCACAUUCUUACCUCUAAAUUGGAGAGAGAUUGAUUUCAAGGGUGGACUAUUAUGUGGAUGCAAAAUUGGUUGCAUGAUGGAAGUCAAAGAGUUGUUAUCAAUGGAUAUCAGGUGAAGGCCAGUGAUGGAUGGUACUCCACAGAGGACUAUCUUGGGACUGGUGCCCUUUAAUGUCUAUAUCAAUGUUCUGGACAGUGGGUUGAGCAUCCCCUUAGUAACUAUGCAGACCAUACAAAGCUGAAUGGUGCACUAGAUAUAACUUAAGGAACGGAUGCUAUCCAGAAGGACCUGGACAAGCUUGCAGAGUGGACCCACAUGAACCAGAUGAUACAACCCAAACAAAGCCAUUCUGAAAAGCAAAUGCUAUAUUCAAGCAUGAGUUAAAAGGAAGUCAAUCACAAAUACUUUUUAUCUUAAAGAAAAAUUGUUCUUUAAACGUAAUAGACACCAGGAACUCAUUCAAUACCUGAGCAGACAAAUGAAUUGAACUUCCAUUUUACAGUUAAACAGGUGUAAUAGCUUAUUCUUUUCAAAACACCAACCUAUCUACCUUAAACAGGUUUCAUGUCUAGAUGAAAAAAAAGCAUGGUGGUAUGUAGAUCACAUGGAAGUAAACAGAUCCAGAACAGACCAGCUAUCCCAACAGUGUGAAAUGAAUCUUUCAUUUGUAUUGCAGGAAAACUGGAGGACUCAGUUUUUUCAAAAGUUGCCAACCUCUCAUUUUCAACAUGGUAGCUGAAAGUGAUUUCUUUGCUAUAGCUUUUCCUUAGGGAAAUCUGAAGUGAUGUGUGUGAGCACAGAGCUUGGAAAUUGUGCCUGAUGCUCAGCUCUUUAAUUCACAUUGGCUCUCUGUGAUGUAGGCAGCCUUCCCCAGUUCUUGCACCUCAACAAGUAAACAAAGGUAAAGGAAAAAUUGUAACUGACAAGGAGUUAUAAGAAGAGCCGAUGAAAAGCAAACAUGCAUAAAAAAAUACCCUUUGUGAAAUGUUCCGAAGGUCACUAAUGAAAGCACAAUUGAGGAAAAAAAUUACAGGUUUUUUUUUUUUUUUUUUUUAAUCUUUGGCCUUGUUCCUUGAACCAUGAAUAAAUCCACUUGGAGUGUUUUAGAAGCCAUUAUUAUGCUAUAGUCAAACACAGCAUAUCAAAAUAUUCCUAACUUUUCACAUUAGACAGUACUACAGGUUCUUGCUGUUCAAAAAGGAAAUGUUCUGUGAAUUAUUAUUUGUACUGCUUCUGGGGUUAAAGAUGAGCAUUGUAGAUUCCUUAACAGAACCUGAACACUACACUGUUAUAUAAAUAUUUUAGUCAUGAUGAACAAACGUUUCAAUGUUUCUUGAAUGUUUUCAAAGGUUCCAAACGUUAUUUCCACUUGCGUGGAAGAAGCAGACUGCACAUUGUUUGAUGCCUGUAAUGCAGACACAGACAAUGGAUUUUUCCUGUGCAGUUUCAAGGCUUAGGAAGACAUCUGCACAGCUGGCACAGGACACUCCAACAUUUAAGAAGACCUUCCAUUUAGGUCUUGAGGAAGUGAGUCCAUUCUUCAGCAUGCUGCUGGCCUCACAUGUGGUGACAAGCACAGAUUUGUUUGGUGCUCUGAGGAGAUCUUCAGAACCAGGUUUCCCUGGCAUGGCACCCAGGGGUCUGCCAGAUGGUUUUGAGACAAUGGGGAAACUCAGCAAAAUAAGUCAAAUGAGACCAGCACAACAAAAUAAAUCUUCAUAUAAACAUAGCUAUAUUGCCUCUGUAUCUGAACACAAACAUUUAGAACCAGUUCCUGUGUUUCUGGCAACCUCCACACUUAGCCUUGUGGCAUGACUCAAGCUACCUCUGAAGCAAAACUGAAGGAUAUUAGCAUCAGGAUGAUGAAAACACUGUGUUAAAGGGAGGGAUGAGGUGUCUGAGGUGCCAACAGUGCUGGGAAAUAACCUCUGCUUAUCCUUGUUGUCGAUGGCAGAGAUGGCUGGAGGCCUCAGCCUUCAGGGGCUGAGGGAAGUGUAGUUUUCUUAUUUUAAUUAAGCAUAUCUUAAAAGACUACAUCUGGUUUUCUGACCAUGAUGGAAAGUAGCUGAAUUUACACUUUUGUAACUACUGGGUUUAAUUUAUACUGGAUGUCAAGAAUUUAUGAGAGGAAAAAUCUGAUAGAUAAAACAGAAAUCAAAGACUUGAUAAGUCUGUGUUAAAGUCUGCAAACCAGAAGGGAGCUUCUUUUUCUUGUUUUGGAAAACUACUUAGGAAUUUUAUGGGAUGAUGAGUCAACAUGGAAUUAGAAUCCAUCAGAAAAUGAUGAGUCCCAAUGCCUCUCUGGCUCUAUCUAUGAAUGAGAGCUUGCAAGUUCUUCUGUACAGAGCAAAAGGCAGCCAGAAAGAGAAGCAGGAGCAUGAUGCCAGAAACUGCACCCAAACCACGGAACUUCCUCCAGAGAAACCUUUCUCAGUGAGCCAUAUCUGAACCUGGAAAGACAGGAGACAGAUCACUCCAUGCUUCAUGUGUCAGGAGCCAGCCAAUAUCCUGAGGAUAAUAAAGGAAAGUCUUUAAGCAGCCAACAGUAUCUCUCCAGGGCUCAACCAGAUAAACCGGGCAAGCAUGCGCUGGUCCUGCUCCAAUAACUGGGUGUUAUGGAGUAUGGUAGGAACACCACAUCCUUAGUUUCCCCAUUCCCUCCUGUCCCACAUGGAUGGGGUCUGGCUCAGGCCAAUCGUUAGCUCAGAGAAGUUUCAUCCUGGCCAGGUCUCAGCUUGGUCUCUGUUAUCAAGUCAGCCAAGCUUGCAACUUCUUAUGUAGGCAAUAAAUGUGGAAGUGGUCAUUUACAGCAUUACUGAAGAAUGGAAAAUAGAGUGAUACCUGUACUUGGCUAUCAAACCAAAGUGUAUCAGCCAAAAAGCAUCAUGUUUUGAAGUACAUGAAUGUAGCCUCCUGAAAUCCAAAACUUCUGCAGAUUAUUCUUUGACAUAUACCUUGAGAUUUUGUUUACUAUUGUGUGCACUAAGGGAAAACUAAAAUCAGUUAAAGCUAUUUUCUUGGCUUCCUUCCAAAUGUGUUAACUUUGUGCUGAGUCGCAUAUUGUUAAAAUUUCUUUAACCAUAAAGGCAUCACAGAAACCUUCGUCUCUCCACACAGCAGAGAGCUUCGAAAGGCCAGAUCUUCAUGUCUAUUCCUAGGACGAUUAUUUGUAUCCACAAACACAGUGACAAAGCAGUGGCAGAGAGCUGGUGCUGCUCUCCAAAAGAUGUUUGUAAGAUUCCCACUCCUCACUUCAGAGAAGAGUCAGUUCUGAUUCAGUGUCAGAUCUCAGUACUUGAAUACUACCAUCAAUAUCACACAGAUUUUUGGCUUACAUUCUUGUAGUGUAGACUGACUUCAUCUGUUUGACAUUUAAGCUACAUUUUAUAGCAUUUAUCCUAAUCUAAGCAUGCUUGCAGUUGCCCAUCCAACUAUUUACCCAAUGAGAACAUUGCCUUUGAGCAGGAUAAAUUUGCCAAAAUCUAAGGUGACCCUCCUAGCACAAGUGUACAAUUUAUUAAGGCUGACUUAAGGAAAAAAAUUAAAUCUGUUUUUGUUACAAACCAAAACACACAAUGACAUCAACAAAUGUAGUAAAGCAAAGAAAUCCUCAAGGGAAGCGCUGUUACAAAUGGAAUUGAUUUCUCCAACGUGGAACUCUUUUCUCUGGUACCCAACAUGAUGUUUUCCUGGAAAGGUGUCUUUUAACAGUCAUGUAAGAAAUCUAGUUUUUGAGAUCAAUUUAAAAAUCGAAACAUUAAAAAAAAAAGAAAUAAAUUUACUCUUCUGAGAAAACAAAACCUACUUUUUUUUUUUCCUUUUGUGCAACUCAAUUUUUUAAUGGAUUUUCUAUCAAUAUUCUUGCCUUUCUUUAUCUUCCUAGAACACCUACAUUUAGUACCUGUCUUCACAAAUACCUUAACAAAAAAGUCAAGCUUUGUAAUCCUACUACUUGUGUAUAAAUAUUCAUCUCUCUAGGUGAAGAAGAAAGCAAAUGCACUGUGGCAUUAUGACGGAAAAAAAUGGGUUUACAUUGCUCUUCUUAAUCACAAAAGGAG
ensembl:lncRNA